GCCAGAGCCAUCAAAGAAAUAGCUCACAGCCCGGCUCUGAGUGAAAGCCAACUUAUCUCUAUGGAAAAACAAGCAGAGAAGGGAGAGCUGCUUGUGGAUCAGUAUUUGGAUCUUUUUAACACCUGCUACAGUUAGCUUAAAGAAUUUAAGAUUCUCUAGGUGUGUUUUUAUUAAGCCAUGCAAUUUUCACAGCCAAGAUCAUUCAUAGGAAGUUUUAAAUCCCAAAGCAGGAACUGGCAUGUUCACAGAAGCAGGUACAAAAUGAAUCUGUCUGGAGAGGCUGCCAGCUGUGGGUUGUCUUUGUGAAGCUUUAUGUACAAGCUCAUGGAAGUGAAAGAUUU